rnacentral:miRNA from 1 species
CAUCAUCGAAAACAACUUAUGAGU